AGAUUGAACUGAAGAGUUUGAUCCUGGCUCAGAUUGAACGCUGGCGGCAUGCCUUACACAUGCAAGUCGAAC
rnacentral:rRNA from 1 species